UAUAUAUCUCCCACAAAGGUCACUAGGAGCUCCUAUCAUUGGCUCAAUGGCUAAAGGAGGGGCAAUCUAAGUGUUACUGCCUCUAAUUAAUAACCAGAUUAUCAUAGAUGUAGAAUUAAAACCUGUAGAUUUGGGGCUGGGGAUGUAGCUCAAUGGCAGGAUGAGUACUGAGCAUAAGUGAAGGCCUUUGUUUGUUUGAAAACACCGCCAGAAUCCCCCCAAACCCAAGAACAUACAAACAAUCAAAACCUCCAUCCCGGUCAGCAGUCCAGAAAGCCGGGAGCAAGUGUCCUGGGCCCCGCAUCACUGACUCGGCUACGGAUCUGUCAGCCACGUCCUCAAGGACAGGCUCACCUGCCAGCACCAUGGUCCAGCUCUUGUCUGGCAGAAGAAAGAAACUCCCCACACAAGGACACUAUAGCUCCUGACACCAUGCUGACAACAAGGAAAUUGAACCAAGACUCAAGGGUAGGAAACAGAUCUGCAAACUGAGAAGGUGCUUGGACUGUGACAAGAAGUACCAAUCUAACAGCAGGUGUCAGAUGGAGAAGCGAGUGCUCUAAGAUAAAUCUCUUUACUCCUUCUAACACCUGAAGUUAGGCGCUAUCACCAAGCUAUGAGAGAGUCUCCUGUUUGUCUGCAAAGCUUUUAAAAUAACUGUGUUAACAAAAAUGAGGCUCUGUACUCUUACAUCUAUAGCACAUUUUGGAAAAUGAGAUAUUCCAUUAUGUUUCUGAUUAUUAAGUUUAAAUAAAAAAAUAAAUAAACAGAUUUUGCCCGCUGCCUCCUA